rnacentral:rRNA from 1 species
UACGUAGGUGACCAGCGUUGUCCGGAUUUACUGGGCGUAAAGAGCGCGUAGGCGGCUCGUUAAGUGAGAAGUGAAAGCUGUGGGCUCAACCCACAAACCGCUUUUCAUACUGGCGAGCUGGAGUGAUGCAGAGGUGGAUAGAAUUCCUGGUGUAGCGGUGAAAUGCGCAGAUAUCAGGAGGAACACCGAUGGCGAAGGCAGGUCUCUGGGCAUUAACUGACGCUGAGGAGCGAAAGCAUGGGGAGCGAACAGG